rnacentral:rRNA from 1 species
UGGCGGCAGGCCUAACACAUGCAAGUCGAGCGGUAACAUUUCUAGCUUGCUAGAAGAUGACGAGCGGCGGACGGGUGAGUAACGCGUAGAAAUCUACCUAGUAGUGGGGGAUAGCCCAGAGAAAUUUGGAUUAACACCGCAUACGCCCUACGGGGGAAAGCGGGGGAUCUUCGGACCUCGUGCUAUUAGAUGAGUCUGCGUCGGAUUAGCUUGUUGGUGAGGUAAUGGCUCACCAAGGCGACGAUCCGUAGCUGGUCUGAGAGGAUGACCAGCCACACUGGAACUGAGACACGGUCCAGACUCCUACGGGAGGCAGCAGUGGGGAAUAUUGCACAAUGGGCGCAAGCCUGAUGCAGCCAUGCCGCGUGUGUGAAGAAGGCCUUAGGGUUGUAAAGCACUUUCAGCAGUGAGGAAAGGGGUGUCGUUAAUAGCGCCAUCCUGUGACGUUAACUGCAGAAGAAGGACCGGCUAACUCCGUG